rnacentral:rRNA from 1 species
CCUACGUGAGGCUGCAGUGAGGAAUAUUGGUCAAUGGGCGCGAGCCUGAACCAGCCAAGUAGCGUGAAGGAUGACUGCCCUACGGGUUGUACACUUCUUUUAUAAAGGAAUAAAGUGAGGCACGUGUGCCUUUUUGUCUGUACUUUAUGAAUAAGGAUCGGCUAACUCCGUGCCAGCAGCCGCGGUAAUACGGGGGAUCCGAGCGUUAUCCGGAUUUAUUGGGUUUAAAGGGAGCGUAGAUGGGUUGUUAAGUCAGUUGUGAAAGUUUGCGGGUCAACCGUAAAAUUGCAAUUGAUACUGGCAGUCUUGAGUACAGUUGAGGUAGGCGGAAUUCGUGGUGUAGCGGUGAAAUGCUUAGAUAUCACGAAGAACUCCGAUUGCGAAGGCAGCUUACUAAACUGCCACUGACAUUGAUGCUCGAAAGUGUGGGUAUCAAACAGGAUUAGAUACCCUUGUGUC